rnacentral:rRNA from 1 species
UGCAGUCGAGCGACUGAUUAGAAGCUUGCUUCUAUGACGUUAGCGGCGGACGGGUGAGUAACACGUGGGCAACCUGCCUGUAAGACUGGGAUAACUUCGGGAAACCGAAGCUAAUACCGGAUAGGAUCUUCUCCUUCAUGGGAGAUGAUUGAAAGAUGGUUUCGGCUAUCACUUACAGAUGGGCCCGCGGUGCAUUAGCUAGUUGGUGAGGUAACGGCUCACCAAGGCAACGAUGCAUAGCCGACCUGAGAGGGUGAUCGGCCACACUGGGACUGAGACACGGCCCAGACUCCUACGGGAGGCAGCAGUAGGGAAUCUUCCGCAAUGGACGAAAGUCUGACGGAGCAACGCCGCGUGAGUGAUGAAGGCUUUCGGGUCGUAAAACUCUGUUGUUAGGGAAGAACAAGUACNAGAGUAACUGCUCGUACCUUGACGGUACCUAACCAGAAAGCCACGGCUAACUACGUGCCAGCAGCCGCGGUAAUACGUAGGUGGCAAGCGUUAUCCGGAAUUAUUGGGCGUAAAGCGCGCGCAGGCGGUUUCUUAAGUCUGAUGUGAAAGCCCACGGCUCAACCGUGGAGGGUCAUUGGAAACUGGGGAACUUGAGUGCAGAAGAG